CUGGAACAAAGCCAAGAACAACACUCAAGCUCUUUGGGAAACUGGUAGGAAUUUUAUGACUUUAGUGGUCAGCAGUUGAGCAUCAGCGCAGUCUGUCUUGAACUCAAGAAUUUUAAUGCCUCCAACUCCCACUCACCUUUCCUCCUUUUAUCACUGAAGUAAGGCCAGGCUGAGCUCCUGAGAAAAUAGGUCUGUAGAUUCACUGAAGGACUGAGAAAAGUUAAAAUUUACAUGGCAAAGGUGUGUCUUCUACUGAACAUAAUAAAAAUAUUUAUGAAUACACUUUAGUAUUUUUAGGCCUUCUCAAAACUACUUAAAAGCAGAAUACUUUAUCUAAUUCUAAUUACUGAACAAAUAACCCACACACAUAUGGAAAUAAAAUGAACCAACAUGAAGAUUAGAAGCCAGGCAAGUAAUCUCCCAGCUCCACUAAAACGUAAAGUCAUUUAAAAGGAUAACCUGAAUCUUUUCAACGCUAAACCAUAACCAAACAACCUCUCAACAAGAAGCCACAGAGCAGGGGGGGAAAUCCCGGAGAGAAUGUGAUAGCGCUAGUGCCGGUUUGUUUACAGAGACUCCAGUAACAAUCAUGAGUCAGAAAUUCAAGCCACCAGAUGCUUUCCAACUAACAGGGACCAAAUGGGACCGUUCUAAGAUAUCCUAAAAGAUUUGGGAGUUAGAGGAGGUAAACUAAGAUAAUUAUAUUACAAAGGGUACAAGACCACAAGACAACAACCGACUCCGGAAUUCUUGGACCUCCGCCUUCCGUACAAGAUGGAGUCUUGCUCUGUCACCCAGGCCGGAGUACAGUGGCACAAUCUCAGCUCACUGCAACCUCUGCCUCCCAGGUUCAAGUGAUUCUCCUGCUGCCUCCUGAGUAGUUGCGAUCACAGGCGUGAGCCACUACGCCAGGAUAAUUUUUGUAUUUUUACUACAGACGGGGUUUCACCAUGUUGGCCAGGCUGGUCUCGAACUCCUGACCUCAGGUGAUCCACCCGCCUCGGCCUCCCAAGGUGCUGGGAUUACAGGCAUGAGCCACCAUGCCCAGCCAAAUUCUUGCUGGAGAAAUGAAGUCAGAAAUGCAAGAUUGAUCAGACAACAAUCCCAGAGUCUUGAACCAGUUUAUAGAAAACUAGAACUGAAGGAUUUCCUCUUAGACCCCAAACGUUAUACCUCUUAUACCCCAACAUACCGUGUGACAGCUUUAUUCUCUCAGAGACACAACUCUCCCCAACCCCCAACUCUCCCUGCCUCAAAUAAAUAAAGAAGGAAAAAAAGCACACUCGAGUUACUCUUUCUGCAGGCUCUGAGUAGACAAAAUAGCCCACAUCAGUUGAUGUGAUGGAAAAUGAAGAGAAAAAG
rnacentral:lncRNA from 1 species